rnacentral:ribozyme from 1 species
GUAUACUCAGUCUGUGAAGAUAGAGUAUACGUCCUCAGAAAAUGACAAGCAUGUGGGGCGUAAGUAGCUAAGCAGUAAUGGUAUAGUAUCAGCAAUGACCAUUACGCCGAAACUGAUUGCUAUAAUCGUGCGGACGUUAAAAUCAUGU